rnacentral:rRNA from 1 species
CCCAGACUCCUACGGGAGGCAGCAGUGAGGAAUAUUGGUCAAUGGGCGCUAGCCUGAACCAGCCAAGUAGCGUGAAGGGUGACUGCCCUAUGGGUUGUAAACUUCUUUUAUAUGGGAAUAAAGUGCAGUAUGUAUACUGCUUUGCAUGUACCUUAUGAAUAAGGAUCGGCUAACUCCGUGCCAGCAGCCGCGGUAAUACGGAGGAUCCGAGCGUUAUCCGGAUUUAUUGGGUUUAAAGGGAGCGUAGAUGGGUUGUUAAGUCAGUUGUGAAAGUUUGCGGCUCAACCGUAAAAUUGCAAUUGAUACUGGCAGCCUUGAGUACAGUUGAGGUAGGCGGAAUUCGUGGUGUAGCGGUGAAAUGCUUAGAUAUCACGAAGAACUCCGAUUGCGAAGGCAGCAUACCGGCGCCCAACUGACGCUGAGGCACGAAAGCGUGGGGAUCGAACAGGAUUAGAUACCCGGGUAGU